rnacentral:rRNA from 1 species
CCUACGGGAGGCAGCAGUGGGGAAUAUUGGACAAUGGGGGGAACCCUGAUCCAGCGACGCCGCGUGAGUGAAGAAGUAUUUCGGUAUGUAAAGCUCUAUCAGCAGGGAAGAAAAUGACGGUACCUGACUAAGAAGCCCCGGCUAACUACGUGCCAGCAGCCGAGGGAAUACGUAGGGGGCAAGCGGUAUCCGGAUUUACUGGGUGUAAAGGGAGCGUAGACGGCAGCGCAAGUCGUGAGUGAAAUCCCAGGGCUUAACCAUGGAACUGCUUUGGAAACUGUGAAGCUAGAGUGCAGGAGAGGUAAGCGGAAUUCCUAGUGUAGCGGUGAAAUGCGUAGAUAUUAGGAGGAACACCAGUGGCGAAGGCGGCUUACUGGACUGUAACUGACGUUGAGGCUCGAAAGCGUGGGGAGCAAACAGGAUUAGAUACCCCAGUAGUC